rnacentral:tRNA from 1 species
UCCUCCUUGGCUCAGUUGGUAGAGCGUGUCACUAGUAAUGACAAGGUCAGUCGUUCAAAUCGGCUAGGAGGAA